rnacentral:lncRNA from 1 species
CUAUCAAAAUUUCAAACAACUCCGAAUACUAUCAUGUAAAUCAAUAAAGAAAGAUCAGUUCAUUUAAAUUCAUACUCUCCUUUGGAUAAAACAAGCUUUAUUGAAAAGUUACAAAUGCUUCUCUCCAGUUCAAUAAAGCAUAAUGAAAAAUAUGCUAAUCUAAACCAUGAAUAAAUAAUAUCCUUUCUUUGGAACAAAUUGGACAGCAAUCCCCAAGGCAUCAAAUAUCAUUCCUCUAUCUUUCUUUGCCAACUCUGCUUUGUGAUCCUCAUGUGCUUCAACAAGUGCAUUCUGCAGAGAAACAAUAUCCUUGUUCAAGACUUGAUAUUUAAUGGAAUUAUGCUAUUCAGAUUUACUAAAAAUAAGCGAUAUUACCUCAUGUCAAAAGUAGUUCUUCAGUGUAUAUUCUUUUUUAUCUAAUCUAGAAAUUGAGCUAGCUUAAACCUUGCAUUAUCAAAGGUAUGAAUAAUGAGCUUUUUACAUUGAAGAUUCAUCAUGGAGACGAAUUUUUAGAUAUACCAAAGAUGACUUAUUUGGGAGGCAAGAUAGAUUUUAUUGAUAAGUGUGAUCCACAUAAAUGGUCAUUGCAAACCUUAGAAUGGAUUGGAACAACGAGAUUAGGUUGCAACAAUAUUCUUGGUUGGCACUUUAAACUACAUACUGGUAAUGGUUAUAUUAAAUGCUUGUGUUGAUUGUGAUCUAAUGGUAAAAACACUUCCAGCUAAUAGAGUUGCUAAAGUAUACAUUACACAUGUUGGUAAUGUAUCAAAAAUACAAAUCAAGUGUGCCCCAACGUUAAUUAUAUUUUUGAGGAUAAUGGGGUGCAGAUAGACUUGGAGGCAUCGAAAGAUGGUGCACAUGAUCAUAUUUUCAACUCUGCAGAGGUAAGUAUUAACUUAGAUGACUUCGAAUUGGAAAGAGCAAAUUAUGUCGGGGAUAAAAAUAGUUAUGUUUACCAAGAAUGGAGCAUUUUGAAGGUAAUGAAUAUCAUAUAAAUGAAAGUGAAGAGGAGUCAAAUGGUUUGGAGAUAGACUCACACAGUGAAUGGCUUGAAAUUUGGGAUAAUAUUGGAAAGGAUAAGGUGGAAAUGAAGUUGAAAGGGAAAGAAAUAAUGAAAAUAAGAGAGGAUAAAAAGAAAAAUCUAGUAGGAAAUGAAAAAGUUAGUGUAAAGGGGAGGGAAGAGGGGAAGGAAAAAAAGAAAGAUAAAGUGAUGGAAAAAAUUAAGAGUGCCAAUUUUGCCGGGUUACUACUGGAGGACUCAAAGUACAGAAUCUGAGAAUGAUAACAUCUCUCCUAACUAUGAUUCAGAUGACAGGUAUUAAUAGCGAUGAUGAUGAAAAAGGUCAGAAAGGUUGAGAAUGUUGCAUUUAGGGCAGAACGGACAUGGACAAUCCAACAUUUAGGUUGGGAAUGACAUUCAUUGAUGCAAUAGAAUUUAGAGCUGCACUGAGAUCUUAUUCUAUUAAAAAUAACAAGAAAAUUUCCUUCAAAAAGAAUGAAUCUUAUAAAAUCUCUGCAAAAUAUUGUGAUCAAUUUCCACGGCGCAUAUAUGCUUCUAGAAAGGGACCAGAUGAUCCCACAAUCACGAUAAAAUUUUAGUUAGGGAAAUAUUCUGAUGAUUGUUUGUUUGUUUAUGCCAACAAAAAUGUGAAAUCUACAAUGAUUGCCAAAAAAUUCCUGCAUUAUUUGAGAAUACAUCCAGAUGUAUUAAUAGGAGAUUUCAUGGACAAAAUACACGAAGAGAUGAAUGUUGAAGUGUCAUGCCCCAGGCGCGAUCGGCGCUCAAUCUAGUGAACCCGACCGAACAAGCCUCAUCACAUACUCCCUACCCAAUUCUUCAUGAAUAAGAUAGCCAUGUCUCUUUUUUAUUUAAGCAGGAAAAGGUGACACAUCCAACUAUGUUAUUUCAUUCCAUAUUACAGGCUUAACCGUAGUUAAAGAUAGUUUCCAAAAUUUUCAUAAAUUACCGUUCAUAGGUAGCAUGAGUUUACAAUUACAACUUAGUUCAUGAACCCCACAACACCCAUACAAGACCAACACAUAUGUCUACGGAGCCGCAAGGGAUACAAAGAUAAAUAUAACAGUGCCCGAAACAAGGCCCCGAGAGUCCCCAAUAAAAGAUAUGCAAUAUAGCCUCUUGGAGGAGAAAGGGGCUCACCAAGAUCCUUGAGAAGAAGGAUGCUCCGCUACACACAAUCGGCACUAUCCGUUAUGAAGCUACCUAAAUUCAUUUAAAAAUGUAGUGCCCUCGAUAAAAGGACGUUAGUACCAUGGAAUAGUACUAGUAUGUAUAACUAAACACCAUUUUACUAGAAAGGACUAUCAAGAAAGAACAAGUAAAUCACAAGAAUAAAUCAAGGUUUAACCAAAAACCACAUCAUCAAAUAAAUGAACCAUGUAAUCUUUCAUAUAAUUUUUAUAACUUAGUUUGGGGCAUUUCUUUCAUAUGUUCAUCACUGUCCUUGAUACCGCUACUAUCUUGAGCGGAGUCCGAUCACGACCCGAUUGGCUAGGUUGCCUCAUUUGAGGCAUGUAUCUCCAUCACCAUUUCAUUUCUCUUUCCGGAAUUUAAUGUUAGCACCUUAGCACCAUGUGUGCAGCAUGGUGUUCGAUCAUAGCCCAAUCGGCUAGGCCACCUUAUUUAGGCGUUGUUCCUUUCUCAUCAAUCAUCUCACUUGAAUCUUUAUUUUACAUAUAUCAUAUCCUUUCAUUGGCACUUAGGGCCUUAAUUAUCACACUUUUUUUAUUUUCAAUGUUCAUCUUGCAAUUUGUGAUCUUGGGCACGUACAAAAGCAUUUCAAGUUGUAAACAUAAGUAAGAUUCCACAUAAUUAGCAUGUCAAUAUCAGUUAUAAUCUUGGCUUAUAGCCCAGGCAUAUCAAUUCAUGAUUUGAAUUUUUCACACAUCUUUAAAUAUCAAGGAUAGUUCAUUACACGUUGAGGCGCAUCCUUCAUGUAGACAUGUAUAUAUAUAUAUAUAUAUGUAUAUAUAUAUAUAUAUAGAACCGGUACAUCAACAAAUUCUAGUCUUACCACAUUUGUGUAAACGCCAAUGGAGCUCAAUUUCUAAUACAAGGGGAUUUUAGCCAUACAAACCUUAAUAUAGCUUUCCUUACUCUUUACAAAAUUUCAGAACUCUUAGCACUUCGAUCUAUUAUGUAAGAGUUAUAAAUUGAAUCGAGAAUUAGAGACGAGAUUGAGAUUCUAGCUUGUUUCAAGCAUAUUAUCAAACACUAAAGGUGCAUAAUGGACCGUAAAAUGCUUCCCCAAAACUAGACACACUGGCUGAGUUUACGGCAGAAAUGCGGUCUGCAUUCACGUUCUGCGGUCGCAAAGUACACCACAGAACUGACCUUCACAAAAUUCUAAGGAAGUUAUGCGACGACUAUGCGAUCCGCAUUUUGAUUAUGCGAUCGCAUAGUGGAUUUCAAUUUGGCCAACACACUGACUCAUUCUGUAGCAGAUAUGUGGUCUGCAUACCUGGUAUGCGACCGCAUUCUAGACCACAUAAUUGCAUUUUUCUGAAAAACUUUAAUUCUUGAUUUUUAAAUGCAUAGAUCAGUACAAAAGGGUCUGGACCGUGGCGACCAAGCUUGCCGCGAAGAAUUUUACAUAUUCCUAACCUAUAUUCAUAAUUUGACACUAUGAGAUUUUUAAGUUUUGAGUGAAAAUUUUCACGAGGCCUCACAUGAAGUUUUUGUGAGCCAAGUUUAUUGAGCAAAGACAAUAGCAAAGGAGAUGAUAGAAGAUCAUUACAAAGAACAAUAUGCAAAAUUAGAGGACUACUGUGCAGAACUCAAGAGAAAGAAUCCGGGAUCAACUGUAUUGUUAGAAACACCACCUCAUGAAGAGGAUGGCAGACCUGUUUAUGAAAGAAUUUACAUAUAUCUUGAGCCGUGUAGAAGAAGUUGGAUGGCAGGUUGUAGGCCACUCAUUGGGAUGGACGAUUGCUUUCUUAAAGGACCAUAUGGAGGUCAACUUUUAAUAGCAAUUGGGAUAUAUGCUGAUAAUGGCAUAUUUCCUAUAGCUUAUGCAGUAGUUGAUAUUGAAAAUAAGCAUAACUAUAUAGAGACUCAGCUACAUCAAUUCCUACUUGGGUUGGAAAAUUUUUAUUUCAAGUAAAGACCAUAUAUGGUGAACAAUUUAGUGUAGACUUGAGUGGAAGAAGCUGUUCAUGCGGAGAAUGGGACCUAACAGGAAUCUUAUGUUCACAUGCAAUGAGCUAUAUAGAGAAUCCAGAAAAUUUUAUACAUGAUUGUUACAAGAAGACAACUCAAAUGAGGAUUUAUGAGCCAGUCAUUGCUCCAAUGGAUGGACCUGACAUGUGGGAAUCUACUGAUCUACCGGACGUUAACCCUCCUAACUAUGAGCCAAAGAAAAGUAAGUUGAACAAAAAUAGAAGAAAAGAGCCCGAUGAAAUUGAAGCCUCCAAGAGAAAAGCAGUUGAGAUGAAAAAACAGAGAAGAGAGAAAAAGAAAAAAUAAUUUGCAACAAGUGAAAUGCAUGAUAUAUCAAAUUGAGUAAGAAAGAGAAGUUAGGGAGGAGUAGCAAGUGCUUGCAAACUGGUCACAACAAAACAACUUGCAAGAAGAAUAGUAAUUCCCCGAAUUCAACAACUCUAUCUCAAGCUACUCAAACAACUCAAGAUUGAUGUCAAUCCCACCCAAGUAAGCAAAUCAAUUUUGAGUCCACUUAUUGGACUGGACAUAUAAAUGAACUUUCUAAACCCAAUGUAAGUAUGGAACCUUAAAUAUAGGUAAUUUAGUACUUUUAGAGAUAGGUAAUACAUUUGCGUUCCUUAUUUUUUUCACAGCCAAGAAGGCCAUGGAGGAUGAUUCAUCUCAUAGGCCUGCAUGAGCUCAAGUUGGCGGCGUUGUAAUAAAUCCCGAGAAGUAUAUGUGGAAUGAAAAAAAUUGUAUUAGCUUACAAAUCCUUUCAAAUACAAAUGCUAUACAGAAGUUUAAGAAAAAGAGCUUUGAUGUGGAAGAAAAUAGAAGCAAUUAGAAUAUGAAAUUGUCAGCAAGAACAAAUUUUAAUUUCAUCAAAACUUCUUUUGCUGUUUAAUGGAUAUAUCAUUUAUUCUUAAGAGAUUAUCAAUGUCAAGUUUAUACUUUACCUUUACAAUUUAAUUUUAGUAUUUGUACUCUUCGACGCCUUUUGACUUAUCUUUAUUACUUAAAUUAUAUGCACCAUUCUCUUAUUUUUAUCUCAAUCAGAGAGGAAAACAAUCAUUACACAAGAAUUUACGGCAAAAAAGAAUAAUGCUAUACUAAGUGAUAUCGAUUAGCAAAAAAGUACAUUACACACGAGCUCAUAUACAUAUAUAUUUAUAUUUUAAAAAAUACUAGCCUCAAUCUCAAAUUACUGGGUUAUAUUUAUCUUUCAAUACAAAAUAAAAAUUCUCUACUGACUGUCCCAAAAGAAAUUGCAAAAGAAUAGACGGUAAAAAAGAGGAACUAGCUGAAUAUAGAAAAACUGACCUCCGAAAUGGAUCCACCAGGAACGGCGUGAAGAAGUAAAUGGCGAAGGCUUUAACAAGGUGAAAUCAGAGAAAUAGGAGGCGUUUUGGAAGAUAAAGCUUAUAAAGAUCGAUAAGAUGCAAAAAUCUUAACACCAUUUCUGUUAAAAAGAACCGGAAACACAUCUUGGUCCAUUAUCUGAGAUUUUUCGGCUUCGGAGCUAUGAGGUAAACCCCUGAGAAAAUGACUGAUUUAUUGAGCUUGUCCAUUUUAGGGGAUAAUUGUGACUAAUCUUUUGCUUUGGUCUUGAGCUUGUCGAUAUGCUUUAGGUGAUGAAGCAUAUUGACUGGUCUUUGCUUUGGUAAACAAACCAACUCUUUUUUAUUUAAUCUCUUUUUAUUUAUUUUAUGUCAUUUAUUUC